rnacentral:rRNA from 1 species
UACGUAGGUGGCAAGCGUUGUCCGGAUUUACUGGGCGUAAAGAGCGCGCAGGCGGUCGUUCAAGUCGCGUGUGAAAGCCCCCGGCUCAACUGGGGAGGGUCACGCGAUACUGAUCGACUCGAAGGCAGGAGAGGGUAGUGGAAUUCCCGGUGUAGUGGUGAAAUGCGUAGAUAUCGGGAGGAACACCAGUGGUGAAGGCGACUACCUGGCCUGUUCUUGACGCUGAGGCGCGAAAGCUAGGGGAGCAAACGGG